UGGAACAGAAUGCAAACAUUGUAUUGUGGAGUUCAUGUAACAAGUGUUUCCCAGGUUAAAUAGACCAGCAGAAUGACCCACAGCAACUACUUGUUCUUCUUCCGGAAGAUCUUCCAUGAAAACAGGGCCCUUCUCUGGGGCCUUCACAAUCUCAUCUGCUGUUCCCAUCAUCAUCAAUUUUUGACCCUCCUUCACUCCUAAUGUUGCCCAAUCAGCAUCAUCCUGCUUUGUCAAAGAACAAAUUUAAGAAGGGUGAUAGUACACCCAUAAAAACACAUUACAAAUUCUUAAUGUAAUACAAAGUAUCAUGAUACAUCAGAGAAGUAAUCACUGUUGCCCUAAUACAACAACAAUACCAGCUAAAUACCUUCAAUAAACCACCCUUAACCAUAAUUUUUUGCCUCUCAGGGGGUACUCCUGUCAGAUCAUACAACUGGCACUUGAAAACGUAAGGGGGCUGGCUCAUGUCGAUCUCCACUUUCGGAAAGACCUCCUUUUGCCAUUUUACGCUCACUGUGAGCAUGAUUGAUAGGUUAUUUGAGGGAUCAACGGAUAUAGCGCGGUGUGGAUUUUGAGAUUGUGUCUGUGCCUUUGGCUUGCUUGCGGAAAGGGGAAAA
rnacentral:misc_RNA from 1 species